CUACGGAGGGUGCAAGCGUUAUCCGGAAUCAUUGGGUUUAAAGGGUCCGCAGGCGGAUUAAUAAGUCAGUGGUGAAAUCCUCUCGCUCAACGAGAGAACUGCCAUUGAAACUGUUAGUCUUGAAUUCGGUCGAAGUAGGCGGAAUGUGUCAUGUAGCGGUGAAAUGCAUAGAUAUGACACAGAACACCGAUAGCGAAGGCAGCUUACUAGACCUGGAUUGACGCUCAUGGACGAAAGCGUGGGGAGCGAACAGGAUUAGAAACCCGAGUAGUCC
rnacentral:rRNA from 1 species